AUUGAACGCUGGCGGCAUGCUUUACACAUGCAAGUCGAACGGCAGCGCGGGGGCAACCCUGGCGGCGAGUGGCGAACGGGUGAGUAAUGUAUCGGAACGUAUCCUGUAAUGGGGGAUAACCAGUCGAAAGAUUGGGUAAUACCGCAUACGCACGAGAGUGGAAAGUAGGGGAUCGCAAGACCUUACGUUAUAGGAGCGGCCGAUAUCUGAUUAGCUAGUUGGUGGGGUAAAGGCCUACCAAGGCGACGAUCAGUAGCUGGUCUGAGAGGACGACCAGCCACACUGGGACUGAGACACGGCCCAGACUCCUACGGGAGGCAGCAGUGGGGAAUUUUGGACAAUGGGCGAAAGCCUGAUCCAGCCAUGCCGCGUGCAGGAUGACGGCCCUACGGGUUGUAAACUGCUUUCCCGGGCGAAUAACCCCUCGCGAGGGGAGUGCGGUACCGGGGAGUAAGGAUCGGCGUAACUCCGUGCCAGCAGCCGCGGUAAAGUCACGUCG
rnacentral:rRNA from 1 species